CCUACGGGGUGCACCAGUGGGGAGUAUUGCACAAUGGGCGCAAGCCUGAUGCAGCCAUGCCGCGUGUGUGAAGAAGGCCUUCGGGUUGUAAAGCACUUUCAGCGGGGAGGAAGGCAUUAAGGUUAAUAACCUUGGCGAUUGACGUUACCCGCAGAAGAAGCACCGGCUAACUCCGUGCCAGCAGCCGCGGUAAUACGGAGGGUGCAAGCGUUAAUCGGAAUUACUGGGCGUAAAGCGCACGCAGGCGGUCUGUCAAGUCGGAUGUGAAAUCCCCGGGCUCAACCUGGGAACUGCAUUCGAAACUGGCAGGCUAGAGUCUUGUAGAGGGGGGUAGAAUUCCAGGUGUAGCGGUGAAAUGCGUAGAGAUCUGGAGGAAUACCGGUGGCGAAGGCGGCCCCCUGGACAAAGACUGACGCUCAGGUGCGUAAGCGUGGGGAGCAAACAGGAUUAGAUACCCCAGUAGUC
rnacentral:rRNA from 1 species